rnacentral:rRNA from 1 species
GACGAACCGUCCAAACGUUAUUCGGAAUCACUGGGCUUAAAGGGUGCGUAGGCGGCCCGGUAAGUUGGGUGUGAAAUCCCUCGGCCUAACCGAGGGAAUGCGCCCGAUACUGUCGGGCUUGAGUAAGGCAGAGGUGAGCGGAACUUAGGGUGGAGCGGUGAAAUGCGUUGAUAUCCUAAGGAACACCAGGAGCGAAAGCGGCUCACUGGGCCUUUUCUGACGCUGAUGCACGAAAGCUAGGGGAGCGAACGGG